rnacentral:rRNA from 1 species
UACGGGGGGAGCAAGCGUUGUUCGGAUUUGCUGGGCGUAAAGGGCGCGUAGGCGGCCACCGCAAGUCGACUGUGAAAUCUCCGGGCUUAACUCGGAAAGGUCAGCCGAUACUGCGGGGCUAGAGUGCAGAAGGGGCAACUGGAAUUCUCGGUGUAGCGGUGAAAUGCGUAGAUAUCGAGAGGAACACCUGCGGCGAAGGCGGGUUGCUGGGCUGACACUGACGCUGAUGUGCGAAAGCUAGGGGAGCGAACGGG